rnacentral:rRNA from 1 species
UACGGGGGGAGCAAGCGUUGUUCGGAUUUACUGGGCGUAAAGGGCGCGUAGGCGGUCAGUGCAAGUCAGUUGUGAAAUCUCCGGGCUUAACUCGGAAAGGUCAACUGAUACUGCUCGACUAGAGUGCGGAAGGGGCAACUGGAAUUCUUGGUGUAGCGGUGAAAUGCGUAGAUAUCAAGAGGAACACCUGCGGCGAAGGCGGGUUGCUGGGCCGACACUGACGCUGAGUGAGCGAAAGCCAGGGGAGCAAACGGG